GAGGGUACAGCUUAGUGGUAGAGCAUGUGCUUAGCAUGCAUGAGAUCCUAGGUUCAAUUCCCAGUGCCUCCA
rnacentral:tRNA from 1 species